rnacentral:rRNA from 1 species
UACGAAGGUGGCAAGCGUUGUUCGGAUUUACUGGGCGUAAAGGGCGCGUAGGCGGCAAUUCAAGUCACUUGUGAAAUCUCCGAGCUUAACUCGGAACGGUCAAGUGAUACUGCUUUGCUAGAGUGCAGAAGGGGCAACCGGAAUUCUUGGUGUAGCGGUGAAAUGCGUAGAUAAUCAAGAGGAACACCGGAGGUGAAGACGGGUUGCUGGGCUGACACGUGACGCUGGAGGCGCGAAAGCUAGGGUAGCAAACGGG